UUGAAGUUUGAUCUUUCACAUUCCCUCACCUGCCCUUCAAUUCAAUGCGGCGACUCAAUCGUCUGCCUUUAAUUAGUCGCCUCAAUCCACCUCUUCUUAUUCAUAAACACCGCUUCUUCCUGUCAUUAUGCCGAUUCGGAUUUUCAAUUCCGCGUGAAGGAGACGGCAAUCGAUUCAUUCAAAUCCUCAGUUUCUCUUCGGUAACAAAAAUUCAACAAACAAUCGGCAAUCGUCGGUGUGCUUCUCGGUAGCUCGUUCAAAGGAACCGUUGAUGUCACUAAUAGUUACGCAGUUCUACAGGGAAAUGGAAUUUGCUUCAAAUGCCAAAAAAAACACUGGCUUUGUUCCCAUGGUUCAAUGGCCUCUUUUUCUUCUAGCCAGCAAGAUAUUCGUUGAUGCAACAUUUGGCGGCAGAGAGUGACUCACGAAUACAAAUGUGGGAAAGGAUUUCGAGAGACGAUUACAUGAAAUAUGCAGUUGAAGAGUGUUUUACACCAUCAAGCUGAUUUUGACCUCAAUUUUUGACAAUGAUGGCAAAGAGUGGGUUAAUAGAAUAUAUGAUGAAAUUCGAGGAAGUAUUGAAAGGAGCAACUGUCUCUUGUUACUCAGAAAGUUACUGCACUAACAGGAAUUUUGAAAGAAGUUGGGACACCUGAACUGGAGACUGGUUGGGAAAAUGAUGAUUUAUGCAUUAGACCACGUUGUAUCGGAAUUGUCGGGAUUUAUAGAUUCAAAUGGGCCCGCUGAUGAUCUUCAAAAUCAAUUCGCACGGGAGCUCGACAUCUUUUGGUGAUUUUCC
rnacentral:lncRNA from 1 species